UACGUAGGGUGCAAGCGUUGUCCGGAAUUAUUGGGCGUAAAGAGUUCGUAGGCGGUUUGUCGCGUCCGUUGUGAAAGCCCGGGGCUCAACCCCGGGAGGCGGGUGGAUACUGCUGAGCUCGAGUCCGGAAGAGGAGUGUGGAAUUCCUGGCGUAGCGGUGAAAUGCGCAGAUAUCAGGAGGAACACCAAUGGCGAAGGCAGCACUCUGGGACGGUACUGACGCUGAGACGCGAAAGCGUGGGGAGCAAACAGG
rnacentral:rRNA from 1 species